rnacentral:rRNA from 1 species
CCUCGCCUGGUUAACAAAAACAUUUUCUUUAGGUUUGAUUAAAGAUAAGGCCUGCUCAAUGAAAUUUAAAUGGCCGCAGUAUAAUGACUGUGCUAAGGUAGCAUAAUAAUUUGCCUUUUAAUUGGGGGCUGGGAUGAAAGGUUUUAUGGAAAAUAGCUGUUUUAGAAUAAGUAGUUGAAUUUAAGUUUUGCAUAAAAACUUGCAAACACGCUUAAGGGACGAGAAGACCCUGUGGAUUUUUAUUUGUUAAAAAAUAAAUUUUAUAAUAUUUUAUUUUUUAUCCAAAUUUGGUUGGGAUGACAAUAAUAUUAACUUUAUGGAGAAUAAAAUAUAGAUCCUUUUUAAGGAACGAAGAACAAAUUACCCC